rnacentral:rRNA from 1 species
AGCUAAAUUCGGAAGAGAUAACCGCUGAAAGCAUCUAAGCGGGAAACUUGCCUCGAGAUGAGUCUUCCCUGGGGCUUCAAGCCCCCUGAAGGAACGUUAAAGACGAUGACGUUGAUAGGCUGGGUGUGUAAGUGCAGCGAUGCAUUGAGCUAACCAGUACUAAUGAUCCGUGAGGCUUAACCUU